rnacentral:rRNA from 1 species
UACGUAGGGCGCAAGCGUUGUCCGGAAUUAUUGGGCGUAAAGAGCUCGUAGGCGGCUUGUCACGUCGGAUGUGAAAGCCCGGGGCUUAACUCCGGGUCUGCAUUCGAUACGGGCUGGCUAGAGUGUGGUAGGGGAGAUCGGAAUUCCUGGUGUAGCGGUGAAAUGCGCAGAUAUCAGGAAGAACACCCGUGGCGAAGGCGGUUCUCUGGGACGGUACUGACGCUGAGACGCGAAAGCGUGGGGAGCGAACAGG